AACGAACGCUGGCGGCAUGCCUAACACAUGCAAGUCGAGCGAGACCAUCGGGUCUAGUGGCGCACUGGGCCGUAACGCGUGGGAACAUGCCCUUAGGUUUGGAAUAACUCCCGGAAUGGGGUGCUAAUACCGGAUAAUGUCUCCGGACCAAAGAUAUAUCGCCUUUGGAUGGGCCCGCGUGGGAUUAGCUGGUGAUGAGGGUAAAAGGCUCCCAAGGGGACGAGACAUAGCUGGUUAGAGAGGAUGGGCACCCACACUGGGACUGAGAGACGGCCGGGACUCCUACGGGAGGGGGCAGUGGGUGAUAUUGGACAGUCGGCUAAAUGCUGAAGCACCACUGACGCGUGAGUGAUGAAGGCCUUAGGGUUGUAAAGCUCUUUUACCCGGGAUGAUAUUGACAGUACCGGCAGAAUAAGCUCCGGCUAACUCCGUG
rnacentral:rRNA from 1 species